rnacentral:piRNA from 1 species
UCCCAGUGACCUCAUCUCACAAAUGGUGUGU